CGUAGGUUUUCAUAGUACCAGUA
rnacentral:miRNA from 1 species